UGGGGUGUAGCUCAGUGGUAGAGUACUUGCCUACCAGGCAAAAGGCCCUGGGUUCAAUACCCCACACCAUGC
rnacentral:tRNA from 1 species